rnacentral:misc_RNA from 1 species
AUGAAAUACCAAAUAAUAAGGCGAGGGGAAAGGAGGGAGCUGUCGCUGGCCUUUCGCGAGGCAUGUGCACGCUUUCUUUGGAACCUUCGUCGUAUGGGCGCGGGGCGACCCGCGUCUUCAUAUACCUCUUCGUGUAGAAAGUCUUUGAAUGUUUUUUAAAAUCAUCGAGUCGCGACUUCUAGGAGACGCGAUUCUUUGAGACAAAAGUUAUUA